rnacentral:lncRNA from 1 species
CCACGCGCUCCGGUACUCGCUGCUCGCGGCUGGCCGGCUCGGGAUUCCGGGCUUUCUUCCCGAGACCGCGUCCCCCAGCUGGGCCGAAGGUGGACGCUCAGGGGCUGGAGGCUCAGCGGAAUCCCCUGCGUUCAGUAGCCCCGCUCUCCCCUGUCCCGAAGAUCAGGGAUAGCAGAAAUGAAAGUAUAAUGGAAGCAGCUGGAGGAUUCCAGGUCCACUUUCACCCAAGUAAUGGAGACGGAAGGUUCAUCGAAACUUCUUCAGCUGCAGAUCUAGAAGUCAUUAGCUAUUCUAGCAAAGUAUCUGUCACAGAAAGGUGCUUCAUAAAGGUCUGCACUGUGCUCUUUUGACCUGUGUCUUCAAGCAUGUGCUGUCAUAACAGAUUAAAGAUGACUGAAAAUUAUCUGCCACUCAUUGCGUGAAAGGUGGGAUCUGUAGACCUCCCUCUUGAAUUUGGGAGGGUUCUGUGACUGCUGUGACCAAUGAAUAUGGCAGAAGUGACGCUUUGCCAACUUCUGGGUCCAGGCUAUACGAGACAGGCAGUUCCACUCACUGUCUCUUAGAUCCAUGUAAAAAGUUCAUCUACCCUGCUGGAAAAACCAUGUAGAGAGGCCCUGAGACUACAUUGGGUGGGAGAGGGGCUCAGCUGCACCAUCUUCCAACUGUCCCCAUCAAGAUGACAGAAAUAUAAAUGAAGCCUUCUUGAACUCCAGACCAUCCAUGCUACAAGCUAAAUGCCACCAAGCGACCCCAGUUAAUACCAUGUGGAGCAAAAAUAUCACUUAACCAAGCACUGCCUGAGUUUCUGACCCCACAGAAUUCUGACCCCAUACAAAUAAAAUAAUUUUUGUAAUUUUUUAUAAUUCGUCAUGUAAUAGAUAAAUGGAACAGCCUUCUUCCAGUCUUUUAAAUAGCUGCAAGAAAUCUUAUUCAAGCAGAAGGAAGUUUCUACUUUGUUCAUACAGUCUCAAGACAUCCCUGGAGCCUUUCAAGGGAAAUUUGGGCAGAAGUAGGUAGAGAGGUAAAGCUAUUAUGUAACAUUACUUAACAUGAUUAAAACCACCUUAAUGUCUCCCAUCCUCAAAGGCUGCCAGUGAAUUGGAAAUUAAUGGAUUAAAUGAGGACAGAGAAACUAGUAUUUGUGCAUAUGCACUGUGCCAGGUAUUUAACGUAUCUUAGCUCAUGUGGUCUUCGAAACAACCCCAUAUUGUAGUAUCAGGCUCACACGGGUAACUAACUAGUGCAAAGACACAAGGCUCACAAACUGCUACUUGACCCUAGAGCUCUUUGACUCCGAUUCCCAUGUACGUGCCCCAAUACCAUGUUGACUCCCAAGGUGUAAAUCUUCAGGUAU